UCAAGAGCUGGACUUUCCAUGACGUCCUCACUCGACCCCUGUGAAUAGCAGCCCACCGUUGACCAGCCAUCAGUAUCUACUGUGCAGUCAUUUCCUGACCCGGUUUCUCACUAGCCCUUCGCAGACGAACACUACCACCUGAAGACGGUCGUCUGGAUAAUACUUCGGUUUGACACCGGCAUGGUCUACCACAAAGAUAGACGCCAGACCUUCUGAAAGGACCUAAUGGACUGAGUGCUGGAAAGGAGACAACCCCUCUAUAGAAUAAACUGAGUGUAACAAACACUCCACCACGAAAACUCUCCACUCCAGUCCCAAGAACAGACAUGUAUGUUUUAGUGUCAUGACGGAGCAAUCAUUUCGGAAGGUCCUAAACCCUAUUUAUCUAAAAUACUUUCUGAUGUUUGAUAGUGACAUCUUGGUUACCCAAUAAGACAUUUCUUACAUUAUUACAAGAUUCUUCACUUCUUCCUACAUUGUUAAUGACUGAAUGAUUACAAUUAUGAUGUACACAUUGUUAUUGGUCACACCUGCUGACAUUAAAGUCCCAGUAAAAUCUU